ACUCAAAUAAACGAUAAACCAUAUUUUCCAUCACAUAUAUUUCAUAUUGAAACAUUAUUUUUUAUCAUAUUAAUUACACUAUUAUAAGAUAUACUGGUUUGGUUAAUGUUUGCCAAAGUAAAAAAUUGAACCUAAAACUGGAUAAAGCAAACAUAUAAACCAACCUAACCUGACCAGUUCUGCAGUUCAGUUAGCUGAAUUUUCAAGAGUGGUUUUUCUGGUUUGGUCAUGUUCAGCGCAGAGCAUCAAAUGCUCAGUACAAAAGUGUGAUAAAUUAGUAGAGAAAAGAGUGAGAAGGAAAAGGAUGAGACCUAAGAUAAAGUGGAGUGAAGUGGUAUCGAAGGAUUUACAAGUUCUAAAUAUUGAUGCGGACUUGGUGUCUAACACAAUUGAAUGGCAAAAAAUAAUCCAUAUAGCUGACCCCAACUAG
rnacentral:misc_RNA from 1 species